rnacentral:rRNA from 1 species
UACGUAGGGUGCAAGCGUUAAUCGGAAUUACUGGGCGUAAAGCGUGCGCAGGCGGUUUUGUAAGUCUGUCGUGAAAUCCCCGGGCUCAACCUGGGAAUUGCGAUGGAGACUGCAAGGCUAGAAUCUGGCAGAGGGGGGUAGAAUUCCACGUGUAGCGGUGAAAUGCGUAGAGAUGUGGAGGAACACCGAUGGCGAAGGCAGCCUUCUGGGCCAACACUGACGCUCAUGCACGAAAGCGUGGGGAGCAAACAGG